GAUGAACGCUCGACGAGGAAUGCUUAACACGAUGCAAGUCUACUUGAGUCCUUCGGGUGAGUGGUGGCGGACGGGUGAGUAACGCGUAAAGAACUUGCCUUGCAGUCUGGGACAACGUCUGGAAACGGACGCUAAUACCGGAUAUUAUGAUUGAAUCGCAUGAUUUAAUUAUGAAAGCUAUAUGCGCUGCGAGAGAGCUUUGCGUCCCAUUAGUUAGUUGGUGAGGUAACGGCUCACCAAGACGAUGAUGGGUAGCCGGCCUGAGAGGGUGAACGGCCACAAGGGGACUGAGACACGGCCCUU
rnacentral:rRNA from 1 species